rnacentral:tRNA from 1 species
GGCCGCGUAGUGUAGUGGUUAGCACGCAGGAUUUGUAAGUUAGCUAUUUGAUUUACCGACUAAAAAGGGCCACUCUCUAACGCAUUGUAGUGACCAUAUGGAAAUUUCCUGAGACCUGAGUUCAAUCCUCGGCGGGGCCU